GAUGAACGCUGGCGGCGUGCCUAAUACAUGCAAGUCGAGCGAACGGACGAGAAGCUUGCUUCUCUGAUGUUAGCGGCGGACGGGUGAGUAACACGUGGAUAACCUACCUAUAAGACUGGGAUAACUUCGGGAAACCGGAGCUAAUACCGGAUAAUAUUUUGAACCGCAUGGGUCAAAAGUGAAAGACGGUCUUGCUGUCUCUUAUCGAUGGAUCUCCGCUGCAUUAGCUAGUUGGUAAGUUAACGGCUUACCAAGGCAACGAUGCAUAGCCGACCUGAGAGGGUGAUCGGCCACACUGGAACGGAGCCACGGUCCAGAGUACUACGGGAGGGCGCAGUAGGGAAUGUUAGGCAAUAGGCGAAAGCAUGACGGAGCAACGCCGAGUGAGUGAUGACGGUCUUCGGAUCGUAAAACUCGGUUAUUAGGGAAGAACCUAUGUGUAAGUAACUGUGCACAUCUUGACGGUAACUAAUCAGAAAGCCACGGCUAACUACGUG
rnacentral:rRNA from 1 species